rnacentral:rRNA from 1 species
UACGUAGGGGCCAAGCGUUGUUCGGAUUUACUGGGCGUAAAGGGCGCGUAGGCGGCUUGUCAAGUCACUUGUGAAAUCCCUGGGCUUAACCUGGGAACUGCAGUCGAAACUGUAAGUCUUGAAUGUCUGAGAGGAUGGCGGAAUAACCGGUGUAGUAGUGAAAUACGUAGAGAUCGGUUAGAACACCUGAGGCGAAGGCGGCUAUCUGGCGGCACAUUGACGCUGAGGCGCGAAAGCGUGGGGAGCGAACAGG